UACGUAGGGGGCAAGCGUUGUCCGGAUUCAUUGGGCGUAAAGAGCGUGUAGGCGGCCAGGUAGGUCGGUUGUGAAAACUGGAGGCUCAACCUUCAGAGGUCGACCGAAACCAUCUGGCUAGAGUCCGGGAGAGGAGAGUGGAAUUCCUGGUGUAGCGGUGAAAUGCGCAGAUAUCUGGAGGAAUACCGGUGGCGAAGGCGGCAUCCUGGACCGGCAUUGACGCUGAGGAGCGAAAGCAUGGGGAGCGAACAGG
rnacentral:rRNA from 1 species